GAAAAAGAAGAAGAAGAGAAUCUCUCUUAGAUUAGUAACAGAGCAGUCGAUAAGAUAUCAAUCAAGAUAAAACCGUUUUUUUUUAAUUCACAAAAAUGUUCUAAUUACGGAUUACGGAGUUUCAUUGUAUUUUUCUCCAUUCUUAAGUGGUUUUCCACUUAGAACCAUGCUUUUAUCCAUUUCUCUCGUUUCUACUUUAGUUGUGAAUUGCCGCGUUAUUCUGCACACUAAUCCUCACACUUAUAGACAUCAAACAGUUCAAAAUAAGUGGUAACCGAACCUUUUCAGGGCAGCACUAAGGUCUGGUUCUUCCUUGUAGUUAAAUGCAUCAUCAAACCCAAACUUGGUCUUGAGGAGAUCAACCUAACAAAUCCCCAAAAAAGAAGUAAAAGGGCUAAUCAAUCUCUUGAAGGAUAACCAAGAAGCAUAAGGAAACAAAUAUGGAAGUGAUGAUCAAAUUCUCACCUUUUCUUUGCUACCGGCGCUUCCAACAACAUAACAGCCCAUCAUCUUAGCAAGUUGUCCCACAAGCUGACCAACCGCACCAGAUGCAGCAGACACAUAAACCGUCUCUCCUUUCUUUGGGGAACAAACUUCAUAAAACCCAGCAUAGGCAGUCAUACCAGGCAUACCUGUCAGGAACAGAGAAAACUCAUGAGGAGAGAAUACAUUAAACAGACUUGACUCCUUGUAAAUUGAAGUUUAGAACUCAACAUAAGUGAGUUUCUAAUCAACAAAACUAUUAUACAGGGUUAUGACAUUUCAACUUCAUGAUCCCUGCUGUAUUCUGAAGUUUCACCAAGUGAUUCCCGUUACAAAACCAGAACAAGGCCGAGAUUAACAUACCGAGAAGUCCAGUAUAGUAGGAUAAUGGAACAUCGGUAUGCUGGAUCUUGAAAUGAACUUGAGGUGUUGGAGUGAUAACACUGUACUCCUCCCAUCCAACUAUCCCCCAGAGUAAAUCACCUUUUUGGUAAUCUGGAUGUCCGGAUUCUAUCACUCUAGACACUCCAUACCCAGAAAUUGGCUGCACCAAAAACAAAAUGGAACAACAGUCACCACCAGAGAGAGAGAGAGAGAGAGCAAAACCCCAAGAAACACAUUUUCCUCUCAGAGUCUUCAAGAACACUAAUCUAAAGUUAUCAUAUCAUUGUCAUCUAGUUCAUAUAAAUAAGAAGCAUCCAGAUUAAUUUCUGGGGGUAUAAAAACACUAUCACUUACAGAAAUAAGUCAUCAUUCUGGUCACAAAGUAUAGUUUAUUAUAUCCAAAAGUAUAAUCACAUAAUAAUAAUCUAAACAAAAAAACGAGCUCGAACCAAACCAAAACAAAACAAACAUUAUCAUCCGAUUCGAAUUUCACCGGAGAGAUUUUCCUUAUUGGAGAAUAAAGUAGAUCAUCGUCGAUGGUACCUGGCCGGGAGUGUAAGCUUGAGCAAGAGCAGUGGAUGGUUUAGGUUUGCUCAUGCGAGUCCGCAUGUAAGGAUCGCAUGACAGGUAGAGAUUUUUCACCAGAACCGAGUUAGAACCUUCCGGAACCUUAAGUUCGACGGUGGUGGUUGUGAAAUCGAAAUCGGAUUCCUUAGGGAAACCACUCACGUAGUCUUUCAAUGUCACCUGCUUGUUCGUCGCCGUCGUCGUCAUCGUUAAUUCUUUUCCGAUUCAAUUUCUGAUUUCACCAAUUUUUGUUACUUGGGAUUCUAGUGGACGCGCCUGCUUUUUAUAGUGGCCUAUCUCUCUCGUAAUAUCAAAGUGUGACGUCACUGCUUAUGAUUGAUCCCAAUGUUCACAAUUUUGAUCUCUCUUAGCUUGGACAAAUAAACCGAACCGAAUGUAUUGAACUGAAACCAAAACAAAAAAAUUGAACCGAAUUGAACCGAAAAUUUGAAAAUAAUCUAAUGGAUACUAAAUUCUAUAACCAAAAUAACCGUAACCGAAUCGAUAUCGAACCGAAAUAUUUCGGAUAAAAUAAAUACAAUUAUAUUUUCAAAAUAAUUAAUUAUUUAUAGACCAAAUAAUCAAAAAUACUUGAAAAAUAUAUAAAAAUACUCAAAAAUAAACGAAAUAUAUCCAAAAAUAUCUGAAAAUACUCAAAAAUAACCGAAAUAUCCAAAAAUAUCCUAAACAAAAUAACCGAAUGGAUACUAAAUUUUAAAACCAAAAGAACCGCAACCGAACCGAACCGAAAUUUCAAAAUAUCCAAAUGGAUACUAAAUUUUGAAACCGAAAGAACCGAAAUCGAAUGGACCCAACCAAUAACCGAACGGUUAACCGAAAUCCCAGGCCUAAUUUUUCUCUUUCGACCGUAUUUUUUUGUCGACACUUUCACAUUUUGUUAUUAUUACAUUUCCUUUCACAUUUAUUUUUCUUUCCAAUUCUGUAUUGUUGUCACAUUUUCAGUGAUUUCACAAGAGUUAAGUGUUUAUACAUUACAAAUGUCCGAAACUUUAUUUUAUUAAUAUGAAUUAAAUUUUGAGGAUCAAAAUUAAAAGUAUAGCUGACAAAAGAAGCAAAACAGUGGUGAAUUACUACAUUGAUUGAGAACCUUCGGAGCAUCGUUGAUUUGGGACAUGCAGCAAGAACAGACGAGAACCUUCGGAUAAUCAUUAUACAAAAUUAUACUUUUUUCUUCUUUUUUUGGUAAACUACAAAAUUGUACUUCGGAGUAUUUUUUUAUGUUUUUUUCCUUUUUUCUAACUUAAAUAGUGUGUAGAUAAUUAUUACAAAUGAUUUUUUAAGACAUGAAUUUUGGUACAUGUGUGUUUGCUCGAGCAUUAGAGCUUCUCAUGUGACAUUGCUUCAAAUAACCUGCUGGUGUGUGAAGAUUCAUUUCCCAUUUUGUGCGGCACAUUUACGAUUCACUAACAUUUGUAAGACACACGAUUCACUAACAUUUGUAAGACACACGACUUUGUGGUUUUAAGCAAAGAAAAAACAUAAAUUUUAGAGACAUUUGGCUUCAAUUCCCUCAAGAGUGAGACCCUUUGUCUCCUGAAACAGUGAAGAAUAUGAAGACCAGAGACAAAACACAUAUCAAACCAAACCCAAAAAACAGUAUACCAACUCCCAAUAGUUCCCGCAAAACAGAGCCAUGUGAUUGUGAUUGUGAUUAUGUCCCCUAAUAAUGAAGAAAGGGGUUGCACAAAUAGCAACAGUAACAAUAUUCACUGAUGUUUAAACACGCAUACUUGGUAUUUGGUAACAUAACCUAAUUACAUUUUUGAAUUUGUGAGAGGGGUUUGGGAUUGUUUGUUACUACUUUGAUACAUUUCAAUUUGAUGAACAAGUCACACAGAAUAUGAUUCGAAACCAUAACUAACAAAUUGAUAUAUAUAUAUAUUAAAAAUUUACUUGAAUUACUAUUAUUUAAUAAACCAAAAACUCAGGCUUGGGUUCGAACACCCAUACAAAAUCUGUUGGAUAAAUAUAACAUUACUCCCAUAACAAAAAUAUAUUCACUCACGAGCAAUAACAACAACUUGUUUCCCAACGUUCUUACCAUGGAAGAGUCCCACAAGAGCUUCGGGAGCUUUCUCAAGCCCAUCAGCCACAUCUUCCACGUACGUGAUCUUCCCUUCUUUGAUGCACGGAAGCACAAACUCCAAGAACUUUGAGUAUUUGUCAUAGAAAUCAAGAACUACAAACCCUUGAAUGCGGAUUCGUUUGUAGAUUAUGUUGGAUAGGUUGUGUACACCUUCUUGGUUUUCAAGAUUGUACUGUGAGAUCAUUCCACAAACAGCUAUACGCCCGAGUGGGUUCAUGUUUAAGAGCACUGCGUCUAGCAUUUUGCCUCCAACGUUCUCAAAGUAUAUGUCGAUGCCUUUGGGAAAACACCUGGAAAAAGAAAAAGAGAAUCUCUCUUAGUAUAGUAUAAGAGCAACUGAUUAGAUAUUAAUCAACGAAGCUAAAAUCGUUUUUUUUCUUUCAAAAAGUGUUUUAAUUACGGAGUUGUGAUCAAAUGCCGCUUUAUUCUGCAAACCGAUCCUAACAGUUAUAGACAUCAAGCGCUUAGAAAUAAGUAGUUUGCUGAACCUUUUCAGAGCAGCACUAAGGUCUUGUUCUUCCUUGUAGUUAAAUGCAUCAUCAAAUCCAAACUUGGUCUUGAGGAGAUCAACCUAACAAAUCCCCCACAAAGAAGUAAAGGGCUAAUCAUUCUCUUGAAGGAUAACCAAGAAGCAUAAGGUUACAAAAUAUCUAUGGAAAUGAUGAUCAAAU
rnacentral:lncRNA from 1 species